rnacentral:lncRNA from 1 species
GGCUGGGGCGCCGCCGGCGCGCAUGCUCCCGCCGCACCUGCUCCCGCGGGUGCGCCCCGAAGCGCGGCAGACUCCGGGUCCGGUCUCAAGUGCGCGGCGGUGGAGGGGCGGCUGCAGUUUACUCCCGGGGAUGUCUCUAGCAGGAGCCGCGAAACCUCGCUCCCGCCAGCCUGCCCCGCCCCCUGCGCCGCGUCGAGGAGCGCUCACCCCGGCUUCACUCCUGCUCUCGGGGUUCACCUGCCUCCUCUGGAGUCCUCUUCGUCCCGCGACUCCUCUCAAUUUUGCGACCUCCUCUCCUCAAGGUGCCUCUUUGCAGCUCUAGACUUUGCUCCACGCGCGUCCGCAGAAGCCAUUUCAAAAUGAAAGAAGACUGUUUUCACCUGGACCCAACAAAUGUUCAGGAAGCCUGUUCCAGCUGCUGGAGACGAAGAAGGAAAGUGAAGGUACUAAUGGCAUACCCAUGCCGUCUCCAAGGUGAGAGACAGAGAAAAUGCAAAAGAGAAAAUUCAGAGAAAUGUGACUGCCAUUCAUCUCUGAUAUUUGGGACCCAGAAACUCCAGGGUUCAGCCCCAGCAUCUCACUGUGUACUUGUGUGUUUCCAGAGCAUGGAAAUGACUGCCUUAUCACGUUAAUUUGUUUCAGUGGCUUCAUUUGGACCAGGAUGGGUCCUUCAAAAAUGAACUCAGUGAUUUUCCAAGGUCCCAUUUCUCAUUGGACUUUACUUCCCUCUCAGCACCUUGCACAGUUCUUUGCACAGAAGAAGUGCUCAAAAAACAUUGCUGAAAUUAAAAUCACUUCAUCAUGUGCAAGGGGAGGCCAAGUGAAUGCUCAUCACGAAAGUCAUUCAAUACAAGCUUGACCACGAUGAGUGUUGGGCCUUCUGCAUUGAGGAUCCCAAGAUUUAUCCCUGUUUAUGGGUGUGGAGUGGCUGGGACCAAGGGUAGGCAUGUUAAAACCAUUGCCAGAACAGACCAUUACCAGCUGCUCAAGAAACACUGGAAGGUGACAAGGCUGAUAUGAGAAGAGUUGCCAUGUCUGCAGUUCAACCCUAAGAAGCUAUUUAUUAUUUCUUAUCCAUGUUUCCAUUAUCAUGUCUUUUGAUUUUUCUUUCUCCCUCUGCCUUCACUUAUCAUUGUCACAUUGAAAUAUGUGCAAGUGGGGAGUUCCCGUCAUGGCUCAGUGGUUAACAAAUCCAACUAGGAACCAUGAGGUUGCGGGUUCGAUCCCUGGCCUUGCUCAGUGGGUUAAGGAUCCAGUGUUGCCAUGAGCUGUGGUGUAGGUUGCAGACGCGGCUUGGAUCCUGCGUUGCUGUGGCUCUGGCAUAGGCCAGUGGCUACAGCUCCAAUUAGACCCCUAGCCUGCGAACCUCCACAUGCCGUGGGAGCGGCCCUAGAAAAGGCAAAAAAGAUUUAAAAAAAAGAAGAAAAAGAAAAAAGAAAUGUGUACAGGUAACCAGCCUCUUUGUCUGGGGUUAUAGACUUACUCUAAUCACCAUCCCAUUUCCCAAGCUAAAUAUUUUUUUGUAUUUUUUAAAUAUAUUUUUUUAUUUUUAAAUCAACCCUUUUUGUAUAGUCAAUUUACAGUGUUGUGUUAAUUUCUGCUGCACAAGCAAAAAGAUUCAGAUUAUAUAUACACACACACACACAUACGCAUGUGUGUGUUAUCUAGAUCUAUAUCUAUAUAUACACACUUUUUUUUUCUUUUUAUAUUCUUUUCCAUUGUGGUUUAUCGUAGGACAUUGAAUAUGGUUCUCUGCUCUGUGCUGGACAGUAGGACCUUGUCCCAAGCUAAUUUAACUUCCCCUCCUGCCCACCUUUUAUAUCUUUUUCCAUUAGUUUUGUCUCUGUUUAGUGCCAGCUCUUUGGACUCUGGCACAUAGAGUGACCCAGAGAGGCUCUUAAAUAGCUGUCUAGACACACAACUUGAUAGCCUCCAUCUUAAAAAAAAAUAAUACCUCUGAAUCUUACAUUGCCCUUCUGAAUCUUAGAUGACCUUACCACGUGUUCCAACUUAGCACAUCAAUCUUAAGACUCGUGCUGGCUUUUAUGAUAGAGUUCCAGUCCUGGGGCCAAUCUCGGCCCUCUGCUCUCAUCUUUCCACCACAAGCUUUAAUUUAAGCCUGAAAAUGAACUACCACCAAGAUAAAUGAAUAGCAAACAUGAAUCAAAAGGGGGGACUUUGACUUUGUCACUAACGGUCUUAAUAAUCACACUAAUUUGUCACGUGUACAGGUGCCCAUAGGCAAAGCAUCGUGCAAAGCAUCAUGAUUUGUGUUUCUUGAAUUGCUUCAUUGUCUCCUCAGCGGGCAAAUAAGUUCUUAUGCUCCACGUAUAUUUUACUACUUAUACUAUAUUCCGAGAAUAUUUUCAAAAUUUGAGGCAAUAAUCUUCUUAGUUAGAGGCUUUGGUCAACAUUUAUCCAGGUCUUUCUUUUUUAUUGUUGUUACAUUCCAUAGUAAACUAUGAGGAAAAAUUUUAAAUAGCAGAGUAUGCAAAUUAUAGUUGUACAAUACUGACCUUUUUUUUUUUUUUUUUGGUCAUACUGUCUAUGCCCCUGUAGUGUUUUUUCUAAGUGUUUCAUUUGGUCUUAAUAUCAUCUCUCACCCCCUGAAUAAUUAGUAUCAUUUAUUAUUUUAUUUUAUUUUAUUUUAUUUUUAUUUUUUAGCUGCACCCAAGGCAUAGAAGUUCAUGGGCCAGGGGUCGAAGCCAUGCCACAGCAGUGACCUGAGCCACUGCAGUGAUAACACUAGAUCCUUAACCACUAGGCCACAAGGGAACUCCAUUUUUCUUAUUUUAUAAAAAAAAAUGAUAAUCAUUUCUAUGGUUCUCAUUUGUUUUCUAUGUUUUGUUAUUGAUUAUCACUGUUUUCUGACAAUCUGGCCUUCAGGAUAUCCUACCUUAAAUAACCAGAUAUCUGACAGGAAAACAUUUUAGUGGCAAUUUGUUCAUAGAUCCUCAAAUAAAGAUAUGAUAAAGCAAAA